GUAUAUUGCUCAGUGGUAGAGUGUUUGCCUAAUAUGCACAAGGCCCUGAGUUUGAUCCCUAGCACUACA
rnacentral:tRNA from 1 species